GACGAAGGAUGCAAGCGUUAUCCGGAUUCAUUGGGUUUAAAGGGAGCGUAGGCGGCCAGAUAAGUCAGUGGUGAAAUCCUGUUGCUUAACAACAGAACUGCCAUUGAUACUGUUUGGCUUGAGUACAGUUGCUGUGGGCGGAAUAUGACAUGUAGUGGUGAAAUACAUAGAGAUGUCAUAGAACACCGAUUGCGAAGGCAGCUCACAAAACUGUAACUGACGCUGAGGCUCGAAAGUGCGGGGAUCAAACAGGAUUAGAUACCCCCGUAGUCC
rnacentral:rRNA from 1 species